UCUCAUGCCCUGGUUUGUCUUAAAUAAAAUUAAAAUUUCACUUUGAUGUUUAACCUCAUUUUUGGUGAUUAUUAGUUAAUGGGGUUUAUUUAUGUGCAUAUAUCUAUAUCAAUGUGCGUGUAAAUUGUAAUUAUCUCUUGUGUUUUCGGGUUCCUUAAAUUGUACUUGGUUUGAACUUAGUUUGUGUUUCGGUUUACAGGUCUACUUGUGUUAUUUAUAUGAAUGUACAAGAAUGUUUCAAGAUUGUCAUUAUUUUUCUUACAUUACAGACUUUUUGCUUUCCAUUUAUUCAGUGGCCUUUGCUCCAGAAUUGUCACUGGCCCUUUUUAGAUCAAAUACUCUUCUCCACAUUUGCGCCGGAGCAUUACUUUGUUUGUCCAUACCAGUUGAGCUCUCAGGAAAUUGGCCAGACAUAUCAGGAUGCGAUGGUUUUGCGAUGACUGGUUGGAGAGUUGGAUAUAUUGCUGGUCCCAAACACGAUGUUUCAGCAUGUAAUUAGAUUCAAAGCCAGAGACAAUUCACAACAGUAUCUUCCUGCAAGGAAAAGAUUUAAACAAUUCACUGUAUUAGUGAAAAAAUAUGGUAUAGACAUUGAGAGUGAGAUCAGCCAGAGUUUCUAUUAUUGGAAGAUUAAUCAUGACUCGUGGGAAGAUUCAGAUGCAGCGGAUGGAGAUUCCAGUGCAUCUCCAACUGACUUUUACUAGCGUCGAGCAGGGCUUUUGAAGAAGGCCAGGUAGCUGUCUGUGCUGUGUAUUUUAUAUAUGUAUCAGGUAUUUUGUAGAGGCUGCAUUCUUAUUUUUACUCAUCUAUCAAAACAAGUACCUCAAAUCUACCCGGGGAGCUGAUCUUGAUGUUGAGGAUUGCCAAACCACUGAAAAACAAAUUCAGGUGUCUUCCUUUCACUUUCAAUGAAUUUUUUUAUAAUAUUAAUGUUAAGGAGGUUCUGUAGAAAAAAAAAAAAGAUAUUUUGUCAUUGUCUCAGAGCCCCAAUAGAAGAUGUAUCGCUUCUGUCGGAAGUAGUGGCCAUGGUAGGGUUUGGGUUAUUGUAUCAUCAACUCCUAAAGCAUCUUUCAGGUGCAGACAAGAUCAUACAGUUUCCUGGCCAACCUCAAGUGGAUUUCAGCAAUUCUCAGGCUAUAUUACUGUAGAUAAUAACAAGAAUGAAGGAGCUCUUUUUUACUGCUUUGUUGAAGUAGAGAUUGAUCCUGCUUCCAAGCCUUUGGCUCUCUGGUUGAAUAGAGGUUUGAAAGAUAAAAUUCUGUCAUAUAUACCCGCAUUUUGAUUUCUUGCAUCUUUGGUAGGGCCUGGUUGUUCUUCUCUGGGUGUUGGAGCAUUUUCUGAGAAUGGAGCUUUUAAUUACACCAAAUGCUGAUAUCCUGGUUAAGAAUGAUUACAGCUGGGAAUCAGCAAGUCAGUAGGAAAAUAGAUGUAUGCUUGGAAGAUGAAAUUGUUAAUUAUCUAAACCGGAAAGAAGUUCAGAAGGUCCUUCAUACUCAACUUGUUGGAGUGCGAAAAUGGGAUGUUUGCAUUGGGUGUUUUUAUAACCAAGCAGAAUCAGCAGCAAAUUCCAAGGCAUCUGAUCAAAAGCUAAACAGCAGAAGGUCGGUGGCAGGGGAAGUGGAACACUGAAUACAAUUUAUCACUCAGAGACCUUCAGUUGCAAGAUUUGGCAGAAGAUGGCAAUGGAGAAGCAAAGAAUUGCGGAUUAAUAGAGAAUGAUUAAUUUUUACAGCAUGCUGGUUUUGGGCUGUCAGUAGACGGAAGGAUUAGCACUGAUUUUACAAUAGAAUGCUGAAAUUGCUCCCUUUCAUAAUAUAGUAAUUUUGCAGGCGUUCUUAGUGCUGAUGUUUUUGUUCGCUUUUCUUAGCUCCGUGGCUAUAACGUGUUAUACAAUGCAUGACUGAUGAAUAUGGGACAGCAACAGAAACAAAAGUCAUGGAAGAAGGUUUCACCCCAAAGGAGAUAUGCAAAAAAAUUUGGUCGACACAUGUUCAAAUCCCGCUGGUUGGCAGCCUGACAAGAGCCCAGGAACAAUCAAGAAACAACUUUCACCUGUAGCACCAGUCCUAGAACAAGUAUGGAAACAAAAAGGCAAGAGAAUCAAAGAAUUAUCUUAUGUACAGUCUCAAAUACAAAUAAUAUAUGGUGAAAUCGCGGUUACUGUUGAGCACGUAGGUAAUCCUGAAAUUGAUGAGUCUGUUUUAUUACCGAAGAAAUUAGAAGAAUUUCAUGUUCAGCUUCGACAACUGCCAAAAGAAAAGAGUGAGAGGUUGAAAAAAGUCCUUGAGCUUGUGAGCACAAUUCAUGAUCUUUGUGCUGUCCGCGGAAUAGACUUUUUUAGUACCGUGACUGAAGUCCAUCCAAGCCUUAACUAUUCCAGUGGCUUGCAAUCUAAAGGCAUUAACAAUGACACUUUAUCUCGGCUGGCUACGACUGUCUCGGCCCUACAAGAGGAUAAGCAACAAAGAUAAAAGAAAGACAAUGGAAGAGCUGGCUGUCUAUGUUCUUUUGUGAAUCACAUGAGCUUGCUUGAUGAUAAGUUUAGAAUUGUCUCAAAUAAAAAUCAUGUGCCAGUGAUAAUGGUGAAGUUAGUUACUUCAUGGUUUGUAGAGUAUCAUACUUAGUUUCAUUUAAUUAUUUGUAUUAUGAAAUUUGAAUUAUGAAAUAUAUUAAAAUUUCGCUUA